CUGAUGGGCUUCUCCUUGUUUACUCCAUCCUGGCUUGUUCCUAUUUUCCCAAUAUCCAGCUCUUCUUGAAGCCGGUUCUUCUCCUGCUGAGCUUUGUAGAGCUGCAACUGGAGACCUCGCUGGGAUUGCUGGGCAUGCUGGGAAACUUGUCGGAGCUUCGCGGCGUAGAGGCGCUUCAGCUCCUCCACCUCCUUCUCCCACAGACGUUGUUUGCCUUCAAAUACCUGCACGCAAUGCCGACACAAACAUGCGGCUCAGGCUUCAUACAAGAUGUUUACACUGAGGAGCGACUCACCUGAGCUAUAGCACCCUCGCUCUCGUCCAGGUUUCUUUUCAUCUGCUUUAGCUCGUGUUCUUUCUCCACCAGACGUUCCUCAAGAUCCCGCACCUUGGAGGAGGUCAGCUUUUCAGUGUGGACAUGGUUUCUGCGUGCCACACGCUUUUUUGAACAGUACUCACCACUUCUUCAACAGACAUGGAGAGAGUCCAAUCAUAUGGAGGCGGCGCCUCCCCUCCGUAUGGCACCAAGCGGCUCAGCGUGGCCAUGCUGCGACACGCCAUCUCCCCUAAAGCCACGCCCCCUGAGCCAACAGCCUUGCCGCCAAACGAGAGCGGAGAUCAACCUGAUGUGAGCCAGGUGUGGGCGGAACGGGGGACGGUAUGGCGGCAGGCUGGUCAUGGAGUUAUGGCCCGAGUCCGAUAGAUUGUCAUCCUCUUGGCUCGCCCCACGCGCUGAAGAAUGAGCCUACACAGAAGGGGCAAUAUGGCGGAAAUAAGAUGGCAGAGAAUGAUGGAAGAGGAAAUGUAUAACGAUAACCAUAGAGCUGAAAAUGGAACAUUGGAAAGCAGUACAGUACACACAUCCAUGUCCUGGCUGCUCAGCACAACAACUGGAAGAGGACUCACAAAGUCUCUAAACACUUGGAUCCCUUCACUUAUCAAAGGGAAAAGGACUCCAAACGUCUCUAAACACUCGGUUCCCAUCACUUAUCAAAGGG